CCACUCUUCCUUAUAUUGCACUGCUUAGCCUUCAGAUUUCAGAGAGUAUUACAUUGAAGUCUCUUUGACUCUGUUUCUCAUCAUUUUACCCAAACCAUGGUCAACAACUUCAAGAGAUGAUCUUAGUUCCCCGACCAGGGAUGGAACCCGUUCCUCUGCAGUGGAAGCAUGGCGUCUUAAGCACUGGACCGCCAGGGAAGUCCCAACAGCAAUUUUUUUAAACCACCUAAAAUUUAGAUGCUUCCAAAGAAUUCAAAUUAGGAUUCAUCAUAGCAUCACAUCCUUCAGAUUCAUAUUUUACUUGUUUAUGUUAAUGGUCAGUAAAUUAUUAAACUGUUUUUAUAUUUAUUUAUUUUAUUUAUUUAUUUUAUUUUUUGGCUGCAUCAGGUCUUAGUUGCAGUACAUGGGAUCUUUCAUUGCGGUGCAUGGUCUUUCCUCUAGUUUUGGUGCAUGGGCUCCAGAGUGCACGGCCUCUGUAGUUGUGGCAUGAGGGUUCCAGAGUGCAUAGGGUCUGUAGUUGAAGCAUGCAGGCUCUCUAGUUGUGGUGCGAAGGCUCAGUAGUUGCAGCAUGGGGUCAGUAGUUGUGGCAUGUGGGCUUAGUUGCCCCAUGGCAUGUGGGAUCUUAGCUCCCUGACCAGGGAUUGAACUGGCAUCGCCUGCAUUUCAAGACUGAUUCUUAACCACUGGACCACCAGGGAAGUCCCAGUCAAUAAAUUAUUAAAUAACAAAUGGUUAAUUCGAACUAGAGUUUAGGGGACAUAUAACUUUUGAUGAAGUACAGACUACUUAUCAUGAUUAUAUGCUAACAAAUAAAAUAUUUCUGGCAGGAUACACAGUCGUUGAUAACAGAACUUAACUCCUGUAUUAUAGAGGAUGGGGGAGUAAACAGAAGAAUGAGGAAAUAGCAUUUUAUGUAUAUGCACUUAAAUCUACUCAAAAUUUUCUAAACAAAAAGUCUAGGUUUUAUAGUACACAUUGAAAAAAUAAUCAGGAAAACACUGGUAAACCAAAACAAAAAUGUGUGUGGGGAUAUGUAUGAAAUUAAUCAAUACAUGCAAAUUAUAGAAAAAUAUUGGGAAUUAUAAUAAAGAGAAAUUACAUAAAUGAAUUUAAAUAAUAACUAGAUACAUCAUUUAAAUGGGAGUGAGCAUCACAAAGUUUGGGUAAUUACAAAAGAUCACAAAAUAUCUUUGAAUCCUGGACCAGUUGUGGUCACAUGUCUCAUCCCCAUUAAAAACUGCAGUCAUUCAUGAAAAAAAUCUAGUCUGUGUCCUGUCUUUUUCGGAGUGAUUUCUGUGGAAGGACACUUAGGGACUGAAUCAAACACAUCUUAUUUUCAGGGGAUGUGACAGGAAAAUCCCCCCACCCCCACCCAGCUCUGUGGCUUGAAUUUUGGAGGUCAGAUCAGACCAAGUUAUCACUGCUCAAAGAAUGAGUGGGGCGAAAUCGUUAGAAAUCCUCACAGAUCUGGAGCCAGUGGUGACUUUCAGGGAAACACUUAGACCUUAACACCAUUAUGCACCUUCAUUAUUACUUCCCUCUAAGCUUGGCAAUCUUUCAUUCAUUCUUUUAUCAAAUGAAGUGUUUAUUAUUUUGAAUGAGAGGUACCUUCUUUGCACUGAUCCCAGUAAUUUGCUGUAGACAUAAAAUUACUGAUAAAAUAAAGUGCAUCCUGUUCCCCAGAACCACUAAGAAAGAAGAUGGAGGUGUUCAGUUAUAUACUAAUCACAGAAAGUUUACAGAGACUAUUCAGAGUUCUCUGUAGUAACAGAACCGAUGUAUAUACAGGGAGAGAGAGAGACUUAAUUUAUUAUUUAUUUAUCUAUUUAUCUUUUCUCAGCGAUAACAGUGGUGAGAGAGAGACAUUUUAAGGAACUGGCUCACAAAAUGGUGGUGGAUGGCAAGUCCAAAACCUGCAGGGAAGGCUGGCAGGCUGGAGACCCUGGGAAUAGCAGAUGUUGCAGUCUGAAGACAGCUUAUAGGCAGAGUUCCCUCUGUAAGUGUCUGUGUUCUAAUCUCCUCCUAUUAUAGGGACAUCAGUCAUAUUGGGUUAGGGCCCACCCUAAUGAACUCACAGUAACUGAAUUACCUCUUUAAAGACCCUGUCUCCAAAUACAGGCUUAUUCAUAGGUCCUGGGGGUUAGGAUUUAAACAUAUGAAUUUGGUAGGGGGCAUGGGAGGACACAACUCGGCCCAUAAUACUUCAUACUCUGGCAUCACUGAAUUCAUGUCGUUCUCACAUAAAAAAUACAUUGACUCCAACCCACUUGCCCGCAAAGUCUUAACCCCUUGGAUCAUGCAUUACAUGCCCAUCAUAUCUUCAACAAAUAAUCAUCCAGCUACAGCCUUGAUGUUCUCUCAGGAGCAGGCUUCCCCAGUUUUUACAAGAGAGAUAGGCUUAGAAGUCCCCUAGUCUUCAAGUUCCUGUUCCUUUUUGCUUAACAAUUCCUGCUUCAGUUUCUCUCUCUCCUCUUGCAUGUACUGUGAACAGCAAGGAGAAACCAGGCCAUGCCUUCAAGAGCUUGCUUAAAAAUCUCAUGUCAGUAUCCAGGUUCAUCACUAACAGGUUCUACUUUCCACAAAACAUGAAAAUGCAGUUUGGCCAAGUUCUUUGCCACUAUAACAAUGAUUGCCUUUCCUCCCAUUUCAAAUAACAUGUUCCCACAUUUCUGUUUCAGCCCUCAUCAAAAGCAGCUUUAAUAUUUAUAUUUCUAGCACUCUUCUGUUUAUGAUGAUAUAUGUAUAUCUUUAAGAUGAUAGGAGCUUUUUCUACAGCUCUCCUUUUUUUCUCUCUGAGCCCUCUUCAGAAUCACCUUUAGCUUUCAUAUUUCAAUCAACAGUCUCUUCAGGGCAGUCUAGGCCUUUUCUAACAUGUUCUUCAAAACUCCUUCAGCUCUGCGUAUUACCCAGUUCCAAAGCCACUUGAGUAUGUGUAGGUAUUUGUCAUAGUAGCACCCCUCUUCCUGGUGCCAAAGUCUGUACUAGUUGGUGUUCUUCAGAGAAACAGAAUCAGUAGGGUGUGUGUGUGUGUGUGUGUGUGUGUGUGUGUGUGUGUGUGUGUGUACACAGUGUGGAGGCACAAUUCCUUCUAUCCUUGUCUGCACCCUUGUCAUCUUACAAUAUAUUGCAUGUUUUAUUUAUUAUUUGUUUUGUCUGAUGUAUAUCUUUUUUGUUGCUAGUAUUGGCUUAAUAGAGACAGGUCCUUUACCAGAUAUUUUUCUUCCUGAUACCUCUUACAGACACGAAUAAUGUUUGACACACAUCAGAUGCUUAACACAUGCCUAUUGAAGCAGUGAAUAAAAGUAUACCCAUUUUGUUCAUGUUCCUUUUUAAGAUUCUGUAAGUUCUUCCUACUUCUCUCUUUUCUUCUUCUUCCAGGCUGCAGUAGUGCUCAGAAAUCACAAAUGAAAAAUAAUAAUAUUUUCUAGGUAAAACACUUGGGUUGGCGAGAAACACAGCCCAUGAAGCCCAUCCUUUGUCUUAGCUGUCUUCUGUCACUUUUUAGACUGUGUCUUGCCUAUCAAUUUUACCUGAUCUUUUCCAGCCAUUUCAGAUAUGUUAUGGCCUGGGUUCCUGGCUUCUCCCCCUCCUCAAUAAAUUACUUAAUCACUACUAAUAGUUCUCAAUAAUUUGAUCAUUUUUAAAUGUUUCUCUAAGAUCAUCUCAAGUCCCCAUGCUCACACUGCCACUGCAUUUACGUGUGAAAUAAAAAUUCCUUCCCAGCAAGUACAUGACGUGAUAUUGUCCCAAACCUUUAUUUACCGGGUAAAAUGACCCCUGUGUACAUGUGCAAAGAUAGGAAUUUGGAAAUUUUUGGCUUACGGUGGUAUUUAUGCCAUGACAUUGAAUGAGAUCACUAAUAAAAUGUGUGCAGAUUGUGAGGAGAGAUGACUAUUGAUUAAACUCUCAGGAAUUCCAUUACUAAGUGGAUGAGAGAAAAUGAAGAAUCAGCAAAUUUAAGUUAAAAAUGCAAAAGUUAUCAAUGAUGUCAAGAGCUACUGAGAGGAAGUUUAACCAAAAUCUUACGUAUCACUGUUAUGUUUAGGAGUUUGCUCAUGACAUUGGUUUUGUGAGGAUAAAACUGCACAUAGAAUGAGUGAAGAAUUACCUAAGAGUUGAGAUAAUAGAAUAAGAGAGGGAAAACACUCUAAAAAAGUGGAGUUGUAGACACUUCCCUAGUGGUGCAGUGGUUUAGAAUCCGCCUGCCAAUGCAGGGGACACGGGUUCAAUCCCUGGUCCAGGAAGAUCCCAGGUGCUGCGGAAUAACUAAGCCCAUGUGCCACAACUACUGAGCCUGUGCUCUAGACCCUGCGAGCCACAACUACUGAGCCCACGUGCUGCAACUACUGAAGUCCGCACACUAGGGCCCGCGUGCCAAAACUACUGAGCCUGCCUGCCUAGAGCCCAUGCUCCAAAACAAGAGAAGCCACAGCAAUGAGAAGCCGGUGCACUGCAAUGAAGAGCAGACCCCACUCGCCACAACUAGAGGGAAAGCCUGCGUGCGGCAACGAAGACCUAACGCAGCCAAAAAAUAAAUUUAAAAAAAACAGUGGAGUUGCAAAGGGUGUGAGAAAUGGUAGAAUCAGAAAAUGUACUGGAUACAAGAGUGAAGUGUAAUUGUUUCAAGGUAUCCAAUAUUUAUCAAGUUAUUUUUAAGAGAUUCAAAGAGACUGAAGCGCAUUGAUGAGAUUAUCUUUCAAGAGAUUUGAUAAAACAGCUUGUCUUGGCCAAGAGCUUCUCCUUAGGGUGUCUCUGUAAAGGGUCUUUGAAGACAGUGGCAGUUUUGGAAGGAAAUAUUUUCUAGAUGAUAUUGGAUAUAAACUUGUCCUUUGUCUUCACAGAGUGGGCAGGAGGAGUCGUCUUAGCCAUUAAGCUUUGCCCCAGUAUUUCAAGGUGGGUGGAACUCAGAGUGACAUCCCCCAAGUGCAUUGGAUUCUGCUUUUUCCUCUGCUGGAUACUGUAGCACUUGAUAAAUACCUUUAGUUGCUGUGAGUAAACUGGACCAAGAAAGAGGAAAAGCAACUGCAGAAAAAAUUCAUAGAUACUGUUUUUCAGUCAUUUCAGAAAGGUGUAUUGCCUCACUACAUGAAUUCUUGUUGUUCUUCAUUGACCUGAUGUGUUACGGGCUCAUGGUCUACCAGCAGCUCCAUGGGUCUUUUCCCGCACAGACACAAGCAGAGAAUCCAGUGCGUUCACAGCAGCAGCCUCUCCCCUAGACUUUCCCAUGAGACCAAAGCACCAUUCUUAUCGUGCUGAGGAAAAAAGCCACGUUCACCAUUCUCAUUCUGGUGAAUAUGUUGUCUGCUUUUACCCUCUCUCUUUAUUUUAUCUUUUUGGAUAACCCUGAUUAUGAACCCACACCAUGGUCUAAUGAACGCCUCUGAAAAGGUAUUUUCAGGUUUCCCGACAUUCAUCCCUUAGUGCUCUUUGGCAGUGACACUCAGCUCUCUCAGUUUAGCUUUCCUGUUGGGCAAGGAAAACAAAUAUUCUGAGUGUAGCUCCUGGGCUAUAAAUUCUCUCUAGAACACCCUGCCGUUUAUUUAAUCAACUUUAUAUAUUUGUAUGCUCAUGUUUUAUGCCAUUUCAUCUUCCAGAAGAUUUUGACUCAAAAUUGAUAACAGUGAUAAUAACUCUGCUUCAUAUUACAAGUAGAGUAUAAAAACACGAAAGCUACUCAUAAUUAUCCAAAAAUAAUUUUCUAAAAUUAUAUAAUGUUAUUCACUACAGGUUCAGGGAAUUUUAUGAUAAUAUAGAGAAUGUUCAAGAUUUAGGAGUGUAGGUUAUAACAGCACUUUAAUUUAAACGUUAAACUUUAUGUUGACACUUAAAAGACUUAUUUGAAUUUACAAAGCUUAGUGGGGAAAAUAGAUGUUUCAUUUGGAGAGCAAAAGACCUGGGAAUACUUUUGAGCUGUAAAGUCAUAUAUGGAAUUCAAAGACUGAAGGAAGAUCGAUGUGUUUGUGGUAUAGUGUGCGAUGGGAAGAGUGAUAAGAAAAGAAGCAGAGGAAGCAGGUGAAGGCUUUUUUUGCCAGGUAUCAGAGGAUAUCUCAGUGAUGAGAAUGAUCCGAACUUUUUGUAGGGAAGAUGAUGAGUUUAUGGGGGAUUAGUCAGGUGGGAUAAUAAUCAGUGUUGUAUAUGGUAACAAGUGUAAGUAUUCAAUUCAAAUAAAUUUACUUUAUUAAACUCUA